UAAACAUGAGAGAUCGAAAAAGAAAUGAGUUCAGUUUACAAACGUUAACUAUACCGUAGUACACGUUAGAAUCGAUCGUUACGUAGAACCGAUAAGAGCUUGUACACCGAUACGAUCCGAGUGUAUAUGAUAAUGGUGGUACUGAUAGUGAUGGUGUGGGAUACAAAUGAUGUUGAAAGAGUGGGAAAAGGAGUGAAGAAGGAUGUUACGAUAUUCGUCAGUUUCAAUUGUAGUUCAUAUUUCGUCCUCGUACUUAAACUGUGUCGUUUAAAUCGUACACGUUUUCAAUACGACAUACCAAGGCGAAAAUUAACGAGUGACCUUGAGAAAUUUAAAUGUAACAUGGACACACCUCCGGACCAAUGAAGAGGAUCGGAUUUUCUUCCCACUUUUUUUAAACUUUUCUGCUAUCACCAUUAACGCUAUCCUUCUUCUCCUUCUCCUUCUCCUUCUCCUUCUUCUCCUCUUUGUCCCCCCCAUCUAUCCCUCCCCAUCAACCCCUACCACUUCCUCCCACCCUUCUUCUUCUUCUUCUUCUUCUUCUUCCUACUCGACUUACGUAGACCUUCCCUUUCUCUCUCUCUCUCUUUUUUUUCUUUCUUUGUUAUCAGAAAUUCGUCGGGUAUUCCUAGCGUAUUGGAAAUCGAGAGAACAGUUUUAGACGGUCUUUUAUCGAAGACACGUUCGAAUAAUUGUGAACGGAGAGGAUAUAUCUGAUUAGUGUUUUUAUUGGAUUAAAAAUAUUCUCAAGUCGACGAUCGAAAAGAUUCCAUUUGUGCUGAUUUAUUUUUAUUCGUAAGGAUAAAGGAUAGUUGGGAUUUUGAAUAAAUAGAAGAGCGAUUGAUUGGACAAAAAUUGACGAUAAAGAUCUUUCGAAAUAAUGGAGUAAAUAGUAGGGUAUUGUGGUAAAAUCUAUAAAUUGCGUAUGCGUUGGGUGGAUGUGAUUAUGGAAGUGUAAUUUUGCUUUCGUCAAGAAAUGAAUAAUCUAAGGUAACGCUGUGUAUAAUCAUAUAUCGUCUAGUUUAUAAAUACGAACAGUGGAAGCAGCGAAACGCCAGAACGUACUUAUAUCUCAACGAUAGAUACAACGAUAUCGAUCUUGAGAGAUCAUUGGAUUAUUAUUUUUUUAUCAUCUUAGUUCAUCGUAGUUAUAAAAAAAGAAAACAAUAGGAACGAAAGAACGAGAAAAAUUAAUAAGAUAAAAUAAAAACGAAACGAAGAAAAAAAAUAAAGAAAAGGGUAGAUCUCUUUCGAGAAACACAAGUUAUUAUUUUGUGUGUCACAGGAUAAGAAUGGACAUGCGUUUCUUUACGAUCAUUAGCAUGAUUUUCAUGUGCAUCAUUAUUGAUUCGAUCACGGCUCAAGUUACCGAUAAAACUAAUAAUGAAUCUAUGAAAACCACGUAUCAAGGAUAUAAAUACCAUGGACGACAUGGAGGCCAUGCAGCUAGACCUCAAAUAAUUCAUGGACCAAUUAUACCAUGUCCAACAGGACAACAACAUGAUCCGAAUGGUAAAUGUAGGAAUGUAGUAUAAUUUUUGAACAAACUUAUUUAUGCAAUAACGAUAGCUCGUAUUUUCAAUUAAAUAUAAUAUAGAAUUGAUUGGAAUUAGUUGGAGAAUAUAAUAUACCACGUGUAUUGUUUUUCUCAAAGUUAAGAAGUUUCAAAUACGUGAGAUAAAGCUAGAUUUAUGUAAUUGCGUUAGACGAGUCAAUCAGUCGCAACAACAUAUUUUUAUAAUACUGUGUAUACUUAUAUAUUCAUAUACGUGUUUACGUUAGUAAUGAUUGUUUCGUAAGAAAAUCAAUUUUUUCUUUAAAUUACGCAAUAUUACGUAUUAUCCCAGUUAAUAAUUCUAAUCAUAGCUCGAAACGUUAAUACCUCGAUUGUAAUGAAAUAAUUUAUUUUAAACGAAUAAAUGAUUAAAAAAAUGUAACGAUAUUCGUAUUAUUAAGUGUUUUUUUUUUGUUUUUUCUCUCAACGAAAAAAUAAAAAUAACUCUGAUUAAAUAAUAAAAAAAAAUACUGGAGAAUGUAAUCGUAGACUUAAUAGACUUAUCUGGAUACGUAUGUGUAUUGAUCGAAGGUAAAAAUAUUUUAUGUAUGUGUUCGUUGCGUUAUUAUUAGAUUCGAUAUGAAAAUAAAAGAUGAAUGAGAAUGCAUUUUA